GCAUCCUGUAAUUGUGAGGGAAACUAACCAUUGAUGCAAAAUUCGGCAUACAACUUGGCCCCUAUUCGUGAAAGCGAGUCGUCUAGAUGGAUGAUGUUUAUGGAAAAAUUGAUGUUUUCCCUCACCAUUUCCAAGCUACGAAGGCAUCUGACGACUGUCUCCAAACAAGAAGCCAGAACGAUGAUAGUCUUUUGAGAUCUCGUAGCCAUUCGUGGGCCGUAAGACGAGUAAUGGGUGCUGCCUCAAUACUGAAUUUAU
rnacentral:misc_RNA from 1 species